GCAAAUGUGUCGGAAUUGGUAUACGAGCUGUGCAAAUGUGCUGAAAUUGGUAGCCAGGUUGUACUUAGGAUGCAAUGUCAACCCUGAC
rnacentral:tRNA from 1 species